rnacentral:rRNA from 1 species
GACGAACGCUGGCGGCGUGCUUAACACAUGCAAGUCGAGCGGUAAGGCCUUUCGGGGUACACGAGCGGCGAACGGGUGAGUAACACGUGGGUGACCUGCCUUUAGCUUCGGGAUAAGCCUGGGAAACUGGGUCUAAUACCGGAUAUGACCUCAUGUCGCAUGGUGUGGGGUGGAAAGUUUUCCGGCUAGAGAUGGGCCCGCGGCCUAUCAGCUUGUUGGUGGGGUGAUGGCCUACCAAGGCGACGACGGGUAGCCGGCCUGAGAGGGCGACCGGCCACACUGGGACUGAGAUACGGCCCAGACUCCUACGGGAGGCAGCAGUGGGGAAUAUUGCGCAAUGGGCGGAAGCCUGACGCAGCGACGCCGCGU